rnacentral:miRNA from 1 species
GACGUCGAAUAUCGACGUCAAAAACACGAUCAACUUUGGUGUUUAUGACGUCGAUAUUCGACGUCAUAAACACGAUCAACUUUUGUGUUUAUGACGUCUAUAUUCGACGUCAUAAACACGAUCAACUUUGGUGUUUAUGACGUCGAUAUUCGACGUCAUAAACACGAUCAACUUAGGUGUUUAUGACGUCGAUAUUCGACGCCAUAAACACGAUCAAAUUCGGUGCUUAUGACGUCGAUAUUCGACGUCAUAAACACGAUCAACUUUGGUGUUUAUGACGUCGAUAUUCGACGUC